rnacentral:rRNA from 1 species
UACGAAGGGGGCAAGCGUUGUUCGGAAUUACUGGGCGUAGAGGGCGCGUAGGCGGCUUAUCAAGUCAGGCGUGAAAUUCCCGGGCUCAACCUGGGGGCUGCGCUUGAUACUGAUGAGCUUGAAUGCGGGAGAGGAUAGUGGAAUUCCCAGUGUAGAGGUGAAAUUCGUAGAUAUUGGGAAGAACACCGGUGGCGAAGGCGGCUAUCUGGCCCGUAAUUGACGCUGAGGCGCGAAAGCGUGGGGAGCAAACAGG